UGCCGAUGAUGUAAGUAAAUAUUUGCUACUCUUGAUGGGAUCACCCAGUUGAUGAAUCUUAACCACCAAGAUCUCUGAGGCU